GAGGAAAUAUGCAACUCUGUUUCUGAGUGGUGCAGCCAACUUUGCCAGCAUCCGUCACUUUUAUUCUGUUCGUAGAACGUGUUACACUAUUUCAGUUGAAUUUAAAAGAUGUGAACUGUUACUGCAAUCGCCGGCUAAGGCAGGCUCUAAAAUACAUAUUUGAAAUUGAAAAAAUGGGACACUAUCAGUGUAGUCGUAACUAAAAUGCCACUGAAAAACCUAAGGUUAUGCAAUCAUGUAACGGGUAAUUGUAAACCUCAUGUAGACUGUCUGCCAUACAUCAACCUGGACGAGAAUACCUAAUUUAGGUGCUGGAAGUGUUGGAAAAGCUUAUCCAUGGCAAUACGCUGUAAAUGUAAAUACAUUCAAUAAAGAAACAGUUGAAAUUAAAAA